rnacentral:rRNA from 1 species
AGUGAACGCUGGCGGUAGGCCUAACACAUGCAAGUCGAACGGCAGCACAGUAAGAGCUUGCUCUUACGGGUGGCGAGUGGCGGACGGGUGAGGAAUACAUCGGAAUCUACUUUUUCGUGGGGGAUAACGUAGGGAAACUUACGCUAAUACCGCAUACGACCUACGGGUGAAAGCAGGGGAUCUUCGGACCUUGCGCGAUUGAAUGAGCCGAUGUCGGAUUAGCUAGUUGGCGGGGUAAAGGCCCACCAAGGCGACGAUCCGUAGCUGGUCUGAGAGGAUGAUCAGCCACACUGGAACUGAGACACGGUCCAGACUCCUACGGGAGGCAGCAGUGGGGAAUAUUGGACAAUGGGCGCAAGCCUGGUCCAGCCAUACCGCGUGGGUGAAGAAGGCCUUCGGGUUGUAAAGCCCUUUUGUUGGGGAAGAAAUCCAGCUGGUUAAUACCCGGUUGGGAUGACGGUACCCAAAGAAUAAGCACCGGCUAACUUCGUGCCAGCAGCCGCGGUAAUACGAAGGGUGCAAGCGUUACUCGGAAUUACUGGGCGUAAAGCGUGCGUAGGUGGUUGUUUAAGUCUGUCGUGAAAGCCCUGGGCUCAACCUGGGAACUGCCCGUGGAAACUGGACGACUAGAGUGUGGUAGAGGGUAGCGGAAUUCCUGGUGUAGCAGUGAAAUGCGUAGAGAUCAGGA